UAUUAAUUUGCAAAUAUAAUCCAAAGCGUUAAUUUGCAAAUAUGGCAGCAGUGAACAAGUUUGCUAUCUUCUUCGUUGUCCUCUUAACCAUGACCAUUGUUGAUAUGCCAGGAACCUCAAAAAUGCAAGUUAUGGGAGGAUUUUGUGGCGAUCGUUGUGAGAACGAUCCUAGUGUGUGCAAUAGCUGGUAUAAUAUCUGCAAGACCUGUAAGGUGCAGACGAACCCGUAUGGUGAAUCAUACACGGCAUGUGCCUGGUAGCUCUAUUUACGCAGUGUAAUUUUCCCUUUACCAAUAAGCUUGCUAUAACUCACAGAUAUGUGUGUUUAGUUUCUAAAUAAAACGUGGCCUUUGUAUGUCUUUUAUUCCCUUCAACACUAAGUUUAGUGUGAAGAAAAUAAAUAUGAUUAAAGUUUAUUA